rnacentral:rRNA from 1 species
GUCGAGGGGCAGCGGGGUAGUGCUUGCACUACUGCCGGCGACCGGCGCACGUGUGAGUAACACGUAUGGAACCUGCCCGCAGCAGGGGGAUAAGCGGAAGAAAUUCCGUCUAAUACCGCGUAACAACGUUGGGAGGCAUCUCCCGAUGUUUAAAGAUUUAUCGGCUGCGGAUGGCCAUGCGGCGCAUUAGCUAGUCGGCGGGGUAACGGCCCACCGAGGCGACGAUGCGUAGGGGUUCUGAGAGGAAGGUCCCCCACACUGGUACUGAGACACGGACCAGACUCCUACGGGAGGCAGCAGUGAGGAAUAUUGGUCAAUGGCCGAGAGGCUGAACCAGCCAAGUCGCGUGAGGGAAGACGGCCCUACGGGUUGUAAACCUCUUUUGUCGGGGAGCAAAGAGAGCCACGUGUGGCUCAUUGAGAGUACCCGAAGAAAAAGCAUCGGCUAACUCCGUGCCAGCAGCCGCGGUAAUACGGAGGAUGCGAGCGUUAUCCGGAUUUAUUGGGUUUAAAGGGUGCGCAGGCGGAGGUGCAAGUCAGCGGUCAAAUUGCGGGGCUCAACCCCGUACUGCCGUUGAAACUGCAUCCCUUGAGUGCGCGAGAAGUAUGCGGAAUGCGUGGUGUAGCGGUGAAAUGCAUAGAUAUCACGCAGAACUCCGAUUGCGAAGGCAGCAUACCGGCGCGCAACUGACGCUCAUGCACGAAAGCGUGGGUAUCGAACAGGAUUAGAUACCCUGGUAGUCCACGCAGUAAACGAUGAACACUAACUGUUCGGCCAAAGUGAUGGCUGAGUGGUACAGCGAAAGCGUUAAGUGUUCC